GGGGCUGUCACUCAGUGGUAGAGUGCUUGCCUAGCACAUGUGAAGCACUGGGUUCCAUCCCCAGUAGCACCA
rnacentral:tRNA from 1 species